rnacentral:lncRNA from 1 species
UUGUAAUGAGAAUUCAGAAAGUAGAGGUUGGUUUUUAAAACUUUUUUGAAAAUUAAGCUACAAUUUAUUAGUGCCAUACUGUGGUUAGUGGUUUUCGAAAGGCAAAAUGGUCACAUCUAUUGUAAGGAUAUUAUCAUAAGCAAUUUCUGUAUCAUCCCUUUUAAGGAUCCAGACUAAAAAAAGGCAGACUUUUUAUUGUUAUUGUUAUUUUAGUUUUAUCUCUAUAUUGUAUAAUUUGUACAAUUUCUGCUUUAAACGUGUAUUUCACAGACAAAGAUUUAAAGUGAAUGAUAUCAAUGUCAAAUAUAUCACAUAUAAAAACUAAUCUGACAGAAAAAUUCCUUCCCUGUUUUUGUUAGGCCAAAUAAAAAAGUAUGUGUGUUCCAGUUACAUCUGAAAACAAGUUAGGGUAGGUAGGUAGGGAUUUUAUUUUAUUUUAUGGGUUUUUUUUUACAUUGAGUCUAUGGGAGCAACAUUCUGACUUUAACAGUGCUUAAUGAAAAAUGACAAUAAAAUCUUUAGGGUAGGCUAUUUUUAAGCCGAAAAAGUAGGGACGGUAGGGUUACUAGAACCACACAUAUAUUUUUAUUUGGCCUUAUAUUCUCAAAAUUGAGGUCAUCAUCGCAAAUUGAAAAUUAUUAAAAAAAUUGUGCAAUAUAUAAGUUUUAAGAGUAUUAAAAUAAAAUAUAUUUGACAUCAAUAAUAACGACCCAAAUCUUACCAUGUAUUUAUAUACAAUACAUAUAGUGUUUCCAAUUCAUUGCUAUUGCUACAAGUUUCAGGAAAUAUAACAUAUCUUAAGCAUAACUUUAACUUUAAUGGAAAUUAGUUAACAGAAAAAUUUUCAUUUCAGUGGUGACAAUGAAUAUUUCAACCAUAAAAAGUCUGAGAUAAGAAUGUGAUUAAGAAACUGAAAUUAAAGUUAUUUCCCUUGUUUUCAGUUGGAAAGAUACAUAGGACUAGUGUUCCCAAAUUGGCAAUUUUUUUUUGUUUUAGGUUAAAAACAUGUGAUUUAGAAGAAUUGUCAAAAAUAAAAAAUUCUCAUUUCUUUAAAAUUUUUAAAUGUUCAUGACUUGAGAUAUGAUGUCAACGUUUGGACUCGAUUCACUCAUUUUUAAACAAUCACAAAAUGAAAAUUGGUUCUGGUAAUUUAAUGUUUUCAUUAGUAAUGUAAGUGAAAAGAAUGUGCAGAAAGAUUAGUUAAGUGUGUGCAUGUAUUGGUUCAAUAAUUCCCUUGACAUUGUAAUUAUAAGAAAAUAGUUUUGUGACUUCCAUACAUUUGUGUAUUAGACAGAGGUGGAUUUAGGGGGGGGGGGAGUCAAUGGCCCCUAAUUUCUGGAUCUGCCACUGUUAGAUGAACUGUAUUACAAAUAAAAAGGAUAGGUAAUGCUGAAAACAAAUUCCCAGUAGGCCAAUUUUUAUUUGAUUUCAGAAAUUGAUAUUUUUAAUUGAUAUGGCAUAGUUGUAGUAUAUUUGUAUUUCAAAGUUUUAAAAAUGUGUUAUAAAUAUGAUUUAUGAAAUAAUAUUUUUUAUUUCAGAAAGAUUAAGUUGCCUGAUUCAAAUGACAGAUCCAGAAGUUGGAGAACAUCCAGGUAUAUUUCACAUACACUUAUUUCUGUUUUGCCUGUGUGUACAAUAUUUUGGUUGCAUUUUACUAUUUGGUAUUUGGAAAAAUAAAUGAGAAUGAUUUAAUGCAAAGAAAAUUGUUAAGUUCAACCAUUUUUGGCUACAACAUGAUAAAGGGUUCAAAUGUUACAUGAUUGAGCCUUAUAAAAUGCAACAAAAUGAAUAGGAAAGAUUGAUGAUAUGUCAGUUUUCUAGUUCUUACAAAAACAAAAAAACGUUUUUAACAUUUGAGUUUAAAAUAUGUACUUCAACAUCAUUCGCAGCAGUGAACAAGAACUAAAAGAUAUGUCUUUUUAGAUUCAGCCUCAGAAGUACCACCACUGAUAACUGAUUGCUUUCUUCCAGAGAGUAACAGUUCCAAUGAAGGUUUGUUAAUAGAUAUUUAUUGCAUUUAUUAUAUAAUUAUUUGAAUGGCUCCUUUUUAUUUCAACAUGGAAUAGGAAUUAAUACUUUAUGAUAAUUAGCACAACUCUUGGAAGGUAGGCUAAAUUGUAGUAUUGAUGUCUAUCCCUUCACCCAUAUUAUAUGUUAUUCAGGUCUCAGACAGUAUAUACCCUUUCUGAGACCUGAAUUACACAUAUAUUACGGAUUACCCCUGACUUAAUGUUAUUUUCCAGUGCAGGUAUUUGUUGACAACACAUAUAUAUUGAAAACUCCAACCUGAUAUGUUCGGCAUACGUGAAGGAUUUUCUAAUUUGCUGUGAACAUAAUUUUAUCGUGUAUGUAAUAAUUUAUAAAUAACACUUUUAACAUUAAAUUUAAGUAUUAAAAGUGUAAAAUGCGUGAUUUUGUAUCAAAAAUGUAUUAUUGACUGAAGCACGUCAUUAUUUUCCCUCUGUGAGCCUCUGACAGUCUGAUAGCUUUUGACUACGUCACAUAGUAACCGGUGUAAUGAUGACGUUUUUGAGGUUCCAAUUGGGGAUACAAACGUCGUAUAUACCCCGGCAGUUUCCUGAAUAUAUACUGACAUCUGUGUGUUGUUAUCCAAUCACAAACCUCGACACAUUUGUAAUCCGUAAUAUAUUUAUAUAUUCGUUUGUAGAUUUUGUAUGUGCCUAAAUUGGUUUGAUAUCAACAUAAGUUUUAUCAACCAAAUGUUAUGAAACUUAUACACAAUGCUUAUUACCACAAAACUAAAAUAAAGAUUGAAUUUGGGUGGCAUAUCUCUUAACUUUUUAUGAACCUUUACAAGUGAAAAAAUUGCUGUAAUUUUUAUAUGACUGCAAACACUUUCACCUUUCUAGAGUUAAUGUUUACAUUCUCUUUAAAUUAAGUUUGCCAUUCCUAAUGUUAUGAAACUUUUACACAAGGCUUAUUACCACAAAAAACAGUUUAAGUUUGAAUUUGGAUGGCAUAACUUUUAACCUUUUUGAGGUUAUAAACCUUCACAAGUGGAAAAAUUGCUGUAAAUUAUACAACCACAAUUUUUUUUUAAGUAACAAAUAUUCACAAACAAUUUGGAAUGUUUUUGUUCAUAGUCUGUUUUAACCCAGAUUGCCUGCCAAAGAAUGAAACCAGCAUUUUAGAUUUUAGGUUUACGAGUUAUGUGGUUUUAUUCAUUGAAAAAGUUGGUUUUUUUCCAGUUUUUGUACAUGACAACUUUUAAAUUUACAUAUCUGAGGGUUAUGGAGUUUUAUUUAUUAAAAGAAAGGGUUAUUUUCCAGUUUUCUGACCAUGACUCAAAAUUGCUAUUAGCAGUUUCCUUGAAACUUUGGUGAUUUGUUUAUAUCUUUUGAUGUAAGCUCCCAUUCAAAUUCUAUUAAUUUCAGAUUUUAAGUUUCCAGGUUAUGGGGUUUUAUUCAUUAAAUAAGGGGGAUUUAUCAAUAAAAGAGAAACUUUUGUAUGUCCCUCUCUGGAACGCGGCGUAAAUUUACAUAAGGACUUAUUGAAUCCUCCUUGGAAACAGUAAACUUUUAUGUGGAUAGUUCAUUCAGCUAGAAUACUUAAAUUACUCAUUUAUUAUAACAUUUCUAUCUAUGAGUGAAAUUUACCCCAAUUUUUAGCUCACCUGGCCCGAAGGGCCAAGUGAGCUUUUCUCAUCACUUGGCGUCCGGCGUCCGGCGUCCGGCGUCGUCCGGCGUCCGGCGUCGUUUACUUUUACAAAAAUCUUCUCCUCUGAAACUGCUGGGCCAAAUUAAACCAAACUUUGCCAUAAUCAUUAUUAGGGUAUCUAGUUUAAAAAUUGUGUCCGGUGACCUGCCCAACCUUCCAAGAUGGCCGCCAUGGCUAAAAAUAGAACAUAGGGGUAAAAUGCAGUUUUUGGCUUAUAACUCAAAAACCAAAGCAUUUAGAGCAAAUCUGACGGGGUAAAAUUGUUCAUCAGGUCAUGAUCUAUCUGCCCUGACAUUUUCAGAUGAAUCGGACAACCCGUUGUUGGGUUGCUACCCCUGAAUUGGUAAUUUUAAGGAAAUUUUGCUGUUUUUGGUUAUUAUCUUGAAUAUUAUUAUAGAUAGAGAUAAACUGUAAACAGCAAUAAUGUUCAGCAAAGUAAGAUUUACAAAUAAGUCAACAUGACCGAAAUGUUCAGUUAACCCCUUUAAGAGUUAUUGCCCUUUAUAGUCAAUUUUUAACCAUUUUUCGUAAAUCUUAGUAAUCUUUUACAAAAAUCUUCUCCUCUGAAACAACUGGGCCAAAUUAAACCAAACUUGGCCACAACUAUCAUUAGGGUAUCUAGUUUAAAAAAUGUGUGGCGUGACCCACCCACCCAACCAAGAUGGCCGCAACAGCUUAAAAUAGAUCAUAGGGGUAAAAUGCAGUUUUUGGCUUAUAACUCAAAAACCAAAGCAUUUAGAGCAAAUCUGACUGAGCAAAAUUGUUCAUCCGGUCAAGAUCUAUCUGCCCUGAAAUUUUCAGAUGAAUCGGACAACCCGUUGUUGGGUUGCUGCCCCUGAAUUGGUAAUUUUAAGGAAAUUUUGCUGUUUUUGGUUAUUAUCUUGAAUAUUAUUAUAGAUAGAGAUAAACUGUAAACAGCAAUAAUGUUCAGCAAAGUAAAAUUUACAAAUAAGUCAACAUGACCGAAAUGGUCAGUUGACCCGUUUAAGAGUUAUUGCCCUUUAUAGUCAAUUUUUAACCAUUUUUCGUAAAUCUUAGUAAUCUUUUACAAAAAUCUUCUCCUCUGAAACAACUGGGCCAAAUUAAACUAAACUUGGCCACAACUAUCAUUUGGGUAUCUAGUUUAAAAAAUGUGUGGCGUGACCCACCCACCCAACCAAGAUGGCCGCAACAGCUUAAAAUAGAACAUAGGGGUAAAAUGCAGUUUUUGGCUUAUAACUCAAAAACCAAAGCAUUUAGAGCAAAUCUGACACUGUGUUAAAUUGUUCAUCAGGUAAAGAUCUAUCUACCCUGAAAUUUUCAGUUGAAUCGGACAACCCAUUGUUGGGUUGCUGCCCCUGAAUUGGUAAUUAUAAGGAAAUUUUGCUGUUUUUGGUUAUUAUCUUGAAUAUUAUUAUAGAUAGAGAUAAACUGUAAACAGCAAUAAUGUUCAGCAAAGUAAGAUUUAUGAAUAAGUCAACAUGACUGAAAUGGUCAGUUGACCCAUUUAGGAGUUAUUGCCCUUUAUAGUCAAUUUUUAACCAUUUUUCGUAAAUCUUAGUAAUGUUUUACAAAAAUCUUCUCCUCUGAAACUACUGGGCCAAGUUAAUUAUAGAUAGAGAUAAUUGUAAGCAGCUAGAAUAUUCAGUAAAUUAAGAUGUACGAACACAUCACCAUCACCAAAACACAAUUUUGUCAUGAAUCAAUCCGCGUCCUUUGUUUAAUAUUCACAUAGACCAAGGUGAGCGACACAGGCUCUUUAGAGCCUCUAGUUUUAUUUAAUGGCCUAAAAGUUAAUUUAUGAGGAAAUGAGAAGUUUAAAUGGACCAAAAGAGGCCUUAUAAUGUAGACAUUAGAGGUCCAUUUGUGGUAUUAUCAUCUAAUAAAGUCAUCUUUUGUAUCAUAUUCAACUGUUUGUAAAAAGACGAGUUAAAUAUUUGAUCAUUUAUGGUCCACACUAUAUUCUUUCAUGAUGCGACUUAAUUUGGAUUUUUGCUCAAAUCACUGUUGAUGUUGUUUUACAUUAAACUAGAUUUUACUCAAACUAUUGAACUGAUUAUGAAAAAACUUGACAGUAAUGCUUGAAAUACCCAGUUUUAUGAAGGAAAAAAGUCAUAUUCCACAAAAAGGUCUUCUUUAACCAGUUGCAUUUACCUAUUGAUUUUAUUCAUAUAUCACUUUGUUGAAGAAAGGUGUGUUUUUUUUUAAUUUUAAAGAAAGUGUAGAAGAUGCAAUGGCUGUAUCAGUGCAAGAAUUAGUACCAAGUACAGAAAAGCCAUACAACACUCAACCUGUCGAUGAAUCAUCUAAUGACAGUUGUCUAAAUGACCCUGCACCAUCUGCUCUUAAAGAAACUGAUGAGCUGGACUCGGAACUCCCUGAUCAAAUAGGUGAACAUGAUGGUAUGUGAUUUAUGUAUGGUGAAUAAAUGGAUAAAACCCGCUGCUGUUGUCAUUAGUCAAUAUCUCCAAAAUUAAGCUUUUUAUAUCAGUAUUAAAGGUUUGUAACAGAUCUGUACUCUGCAAGUACUAUAGAUUCCUUUAUAUUUGUGGAUUGAGGAAAACUUGAAUUUUCAAUGAUAUUUAAUUUCGUUGUUUUGGCAAUCUGCAUGCAUUCCCCUAGAAAAUCUGUGAUUUGUUGACUAAUUAAUUCCUUUUCCCCUGUACCCAAAAAUCCAUGAAAAAUUGAAAAAUAUGAAAAGAUGAAAAGAUGAAAAGUAAUGAAUCACACAAUGAAUUUAAAUGACUGAUACAGAUAGAGCAUUAGACAUGAAUAGAUGUCAUAGUUACAAACACUAUAAAAUGAUUUACAAUUAUGAUUAUUAAAAAUUAUAAUUUAAAAAAUGAUAAUUAUGGAAAUUGUCAUGAUAUUUUGAUAUUUUAUAGCUAGAUAGUAAAGAUUGAAUUAAAUAGACCAGAUAUUGUUGUUUUAACAAGUUAUUUUUAUUUAAAGAUGAAAUGGAGACAAAAGUUCUUUUUGCAUCAAGGCCUCCUCAACAUUCAGAAUUAGUUACUAGUGUAACAGGAAGUGAAGCAUUAGAGCCAUACAAAACUGAAUCUGAUGGGGAAUCAGUUGACGAAACUUCACUUAAGGAUGUUGCUAAAGACCGUGCUUCAUCUGAACCUGUCAAAAUUGCUCCUCAAAGAGAUUUCCAGUAUAGUACAUCAGAUGAACAAAAGACGGGAGUGCAUUCCACUGUGCCUUUUAAAUUUAAAAGGGAAUAUAAAACAUUUAAUUUAAGAAAGAAAAGCUUUAAUUCCUCUUGCAAGUGGCCACUCUCUAAACCUUCUAUACCAGAAAUGGCCAACGCUGGAUUCUUCUGCAGUGGUAUGCUUAUUAUCCACAUCAUUUAAAUUUGAUUGCAUAUUUGAAAAAUAAUUUACAACUUUCACUCAUAUUUUGACACUCACAAUUUAGACCAAGGUUAAAUUUAGGUUACUAUGUACUUAACAUUUUAUAGAAUAAGGAAAACUGUGGAUUAAUUGAUUAUUGUGGAUACCAAUUUCAGGACAUUAGAAUUUGUGGUUUAUCUUUACCAACAAAAUCCUUAAAUUAAAGAAACUGGUAUUCCAUGAACAAUGAUUAAUCCACAGUUCAUACUUGUAAUGAAAAAAUUGAUGAACAUUAGGGCCAACAUUCGUAAAUAGGUAUAGGAAGAUGUGGUAUGAGUUCCAAUGAGACAACUCUCAAUAACCUAUUUAAUCGCUAUUUUACAGAAAUUUUCAUUUGAUCUUACUGAAUAAUUUCCUUUCUCUGCACAGUAGAGUGAUUUGAAAAUUUAUUCCUAGAAACAAAGGGCCCACAUGCCCAAUGUCAAUGAAGUUUAGAACGUAAAAAAGUGAUGAACAGAUUAUCAUUGGCCAUCUCAACUUGAUUGCUUUUAUCCAUACUGGCUCAAGAGAGAAAAUCAAUCUUGUUGAGAUGAUCAGAUAAUCUAUAAAUACAAACCAGUUAUGAAAUGAACAAAAUAAGUGAAUUAAAUUUUUAGCUCACCUGGCCCAAAGGGCCAAGUGAGCUUUUCUCAUCACUUGGCGUCCGGCGUCCAUAAACUUUUACAAAAAUCUUCUCCCGUGAAACUACUGGGCCAAAUUUAAACAAACUUGGCCACAAUCGUCAUUGGGGUAUCUACUUUAAAGAAUGUGUCCAGUCCCGGCCAACCAACCAAUAUGGCCACCAUGGCUAAAAAUAGAACAUAGGUGUAAAAUGUAGAUUUGGCUUAUAUCUCUGAAACCAAAGCAUUUAGAGCAAAUCUGACAUUGGAUAAAAUUGUUCAUCAGGUCAGAUCUAUCUGCCCUGAAAUUUUCAGACAAAUCGAACAUUCUGUUGUUGGGUUGCUGCUCCUGAAUUAGUAAUUUUAAGGAAAUUUUGCAGUUUUUGGUUAUUAUCUUCAAUAUUAUCUUAGAUAAAGAUAAACUGUAAACAGCAAUUAUGUAUAGCAAAGUACGAUCUACAAAUAAGUCAACUUGACCAAGUUCAUAAUAGAUUUAAGGUAGAUACAUGGUAUACCGCCAUCUUGGAUUGUACAAUCACAGUUCAAAAUCAGUAUAGUUAUUUGCCCAAAUCUGCAAAUUUUGAGACAGAUUUGUAGUUUAAUGAUUAAACUGAUUAUUUAUAUAAGGAAAACUUGAUGAUUUAUUGUAUAAUCGAAAAUAUUUACACAAAUACCAUUUUGUUUUGUUUUAAAAAUAUUUUUUUCAAAUGAGCCAUUUAAGGGGAGAUUACUUUUUUAGUAAAAAAUUUAUACUGGACUAAUAAGGAAAAAAUUUAUUUUUACUUGCAGCAAGAAAACAAGUUUGGUGUCCCCCGUUUUUAUUUUUAUUUUCUUAAAACAUGUAAUAAACAUUCUUCUCACAAUUUAUUUCAAAAUUCUGUCUCAUAGAAUUUUUUUUAUGCACACAAAUGUGUUUUUUCAUGAACAAUCUAACCAAAUUUAGGCAAUUUUCAACAACUCAUAGCUUGAUAAAUAGCACGGUGACCCAUAUUUUUUUUUAACAUAUUUGAAAAAAGCCUAGUAAAAUCUUCAUUUUGGCAAAUUAUAAGAAAAUUCUGUAUCAAAAAGUAUUUACUUAUGAUCUACCUUAAGAUAAUUGUAAGCAGCAAGAUAGUUCAGUAAAGUAAGAUCUACAAACACAUCACCAACACCAAAACACAAUUUUGUGAUGAAUCCAUAUGUGUCCUUUGGUUAAUAUGCAGAUAGACCAACGUCACAAAGGUGAGCAACACAGGCUCUUUAGAGCCUCUAGUUUUGUUUCUACAGAACAUUAUGGCUUUUUUUUUAUUUCUUAAAACAAUGUGGAUGAAAUGGUGGAAGUGCUUCUUAUUUCAAAUGUGAUUCACAAAUAAAAAAAGUAACAUUUUAAAUUUUGAUAGAAUUAUAUGUAUGCAGGCCAUUUCCUGAAAUUGUAAUAAUUAAUCUCACAGAUUGGUCUUUUUUUUUAAAUCACAAUUACAAAUGCAUGGAUACAUUUCUGAAUUCACAGUAUCUAAGUCUGGCAAUAUGCUCUACAAAGAGUUGUUAUAGAAAGCAGAACAUUUUGUCAAUAAGCUGUCAUACUCAGUCUGUAUAAAAGUUAAGCUACUUGUUGUUUCUUAUAGUUAAUCUAUUUUGUGUGUUUUAGGGUGUCUUACAUGGGCUCAGUGCUAUUCCUGUGGAUUAAAGAGGCUUUGGCAAGAAGGAGAUGAUCCAUUUGAUAAACUGUUGCAUGAUAAUUGUUCUCAUCUUAAACACAUAAAGGAAAAAAAGGUCAGCAUGAAAUAACCAAAGAAUUAAAACCUAUAUGGAGUCCUUUAUAUCCAAUGUUGCCAUGGCUAGUUGCAACAUAGGAUGACCUCAAUUGUAUUACAUUGUGUACAAUGUUUUAGUUUCAAAAUGAUUUCUAAUAUGUCUAUCUGACCAACCUGAAUAACAGGAGUCACCAAAAAUACAGAACUGCACAACAGACAUCAAAAACCACUGACACAAGACUCCAAAAACAAAUAAACACACAAAACAAUAGCAAGAAAGACAAACAAAAAGUAAAAUCACAAAAGUACUGAACUCCGAGGAAAAUUAAAAAUGGAAAGUCCCUAAUCAAAUGGCAAAAUAAAAAGGAAUGGAUAACAACUGUAACAUUCCUGACUUGGAACAGGUAUUUUCUUAUGUAGAAAAUUGUGGAUUAAACCUGGUUGUAAAGCUAGCUAAACCUCUCACUUAACAACACAUGGUUCACAUAGUUCAGAUAGACUGACCAGGUAUAGGUCUAAAACUUAACUGAUGAUAUGACCAAAUUGCAAAGUUUCACAUCUUUCUAUAAUAAUUGUUAAAGAUUUAUUUUGGUUAUUUCUGUUGUUGGUUUGAUUUCUCAUUGAUGUGUAUGUUUUAGUUCCUUUUAUUCAUGCUUUGCCUGUCUAACCUCUACAAAGUUGCUGAAGCAAGACUAAGGCAAAAUUUGUAAAUAGAUCAGUUUAUGGUAAACCACUAAGGUUAGUCAGUGGUUUUUUUUUUGUAUUGGCACAUCUCAUUUUUAAGGACAUUUCUUGGUCCUGCUCUAUUGAUUAGAUUAAAUUUAAUUAGACUAUCAUAAUGUAUGGAGGUGUAAUACAACCAAAUCAUGGUACGUCACAUCCAAUGUAUACAAAAAUAGGUUGAAAAAAAAAUUUCCCUUGAAUAUGACAGUUGUAGGUAAUUAAUCCUACAUUUUAUUGUAGUAAAAGAUUUCUGUGUCAUAAACAUAUGUCUUGGGUAUUUCUAAGCACCAUUAUUUUUUUAUUUGGGAUUUCUAUAGAACAUUUUGUAAUCUUUAGGUUACAUGGUGACUAAACCUUGUACACAAUAAAAAUAAGGGGAGAUAUUUGAUUGGUUAAUUUCCAGUGAUGGUCAUUUUCUUAUAUGCAAUGAAAUGUUAUAUGAAUUUUUUUCUAUAGUGUUGGACAGGAUAAAACUUGACUCAUGCCAAGUUUUUCUUUAUUUGAAACAAAGAUAAAUUCUACACUUUUUUUUGAAAAGUGCAAAUUUAACAAAGACUAUAAAUAGGGGAAAAUCAAUGGUGGUAUUACACCUAAUAUGGGAAGCUGUACAUUCACCUUUUCUCUUCUCCUUCUCGCUGUGGUGUCCAAAUCAGUGUUCAACUCUUUAACUUAAAAAGUAACUUUAUUUAAAAGGUGUUUUGUACCAUAACUAAAAAUCGAUUUAUGAUAUUGCUUAAAUUUUUACAUACUUUUUAGUUAUAUUCAUCUCAAGAUCUGUAUACUUUUGGGGAUGAUUCAAAAUUUUAUUUUAGAGUUCUUCAGAUUUUUGUAAAACAAAUUGUCACAUGUCAGGCCGUAUUUCAAAAACCAUUUAUGAUUGUUACUUCAAAAUGUACAGACUUCUCAAUUGUAUUAAUCUUAAGAUCUGUAUACUUUUUGGUGAUGAUUCAAAAUUUUAUUUUAGAGUUAUUGAGGUUUUUGUAAAAAACAUGUCAGGCCAUAUUACAAACACAAUUUAUGAUAAUUACUUUAAACUUUACACACUUCUUAAUUGUAUUAAUCUUAAAACGAUUUAUUUUUUUUUGCUUAAACUUCAAACAAGACGACGAGCGAAUCAUGAGCUCAUGGUGCAGCUGUUUAUUCAGCCAAUAUUUUUAUUGCAUUAAUAAAUAUUUUAUAACAUUUUAUUUAUAUAUGUAUUGUAUCAAUCAUACACACUGAACUUACAUGCUCUGCCAAUUUUAUAGAUCCAAACUUAUAUUUAUGCUAAUUUAAUAUAUUUUUAGGCAUCUGGUGAAGUUUAUGAUAGUACCAACCCUUAGCUAACAGAAUUGGUGGCAAAAUCAAUGUUGAAAUGGAGUAAAAACAAUGAAACAUGCUUUUGUUAGACUACCUGCAUGAUUUCAAAUUAUUCCAUAUGACAAUGAAACGACUUCUUUGUACAGCUAACGAUAGUUCCAUGAGCAGAUAGUUGUUGAUCUGAUGAUAACAUUUUAUGUGAUUCUUUUAAAACAAGAAUUGGGCCAAAGGGUAGUGUUCAGUUUUAUAGAAAGAUGUUGAACUAAGCGUUGAUUUCAAAUACUGCUAUUUUAAGGAAGGAAGUCAUUUUGAAAUGCAUCAAAUGCAUUUUCACUCAUUAAUCAUAUAUCUUGGUAGCUGCGGAACCGUAUCCCUUAUGUCCUUAUGUGGUUUUUUUUACUAUUUCUGAGGACCAUAGAGCUACGGAUUUUUCCUAUUUCAAAACAUUCUGAAUUGCGACUCAGGUUCAGGUCGCACUUUACACUAUUAUCUGAUUAUUCACAUUUGGAUACAUUUUCCGCCUAUUUUGUUCAGCCAUAUUGAAUCUUGUUGUGACGUCACGAUAAAGAAGAAAAGAUAACUCUUAUUGGAAAACACAUGUUGGUUUGUUUACGUUGUCUUUUAUUGUAAUUUGAAUACUUUUUUUUUUUAAUGAAAUAACUUUUAAUUAAAUUUAAAUACUAAUGGAAAUAAUAAUCCUUCAAAGUUAUUAAAAUAUUUCGUGUGAAAUAAUGUUGUAAAGCAUAAAAAUCACUUGAUUAUUGCUUAGAAAUAAGUAAACAAACUAACGCUUGUCUUCCUAUAAGAGUUAUCUGUUCUUGUUUUUCAUAGGCGUACCUUGGUACAUGUUGUAGUAGUACUGGUUAUGAAAAAAAAAUACAUUGGAAGGUAUGACCAGUAUAUUGUGUUGUGGAGUUAUUAAUGGUUAUGCUGCUGUUAUUUUGCUGUUAUUUUGUUUGACACAUUUGUAUGUAAUAUUUUCUAAACUGUAAAUAUGGUGAAUCACUCGAUAAUGAGUCUAAAUAUAUAAUAUAAAGAUGUUAUACUCUUUGAAACAGUUAGAGAUAUUGUAUAUAAGUUAUUAAAGUCUUUCAGAUAUGUUUGCUGUCUUUCAUAUUAAUUUAAAAUUAAGUGAUACAUUAUUUUUUUAAGUUAAUUUUGUGAUAUCUUUGUCUUUCAUGCAAUGCAAUCUUGGAGAAUAGCUAGAUUAGUUUGUUUAUUGAAUAUUGUUAUAUUGCUUAUAUUUGUAAUUUUUUCAUGCAUAUGUCAAUUUUAUAUAUCAGUAAAAUCUAUCCAGUAGUAUACAAUUUGUCCCCCAGACUUUGUUAUGAAUUUUAAAGUCUUUUUAAUAUGGUAGUUCUCCUAAUGUUGAAAUAUCAUUAUUGAAAUAAUUUCAAAAAUAGGAAAAUCUCAGCCUUAUGUUUGCCUAAAGCAAAUUUUUAGCUCACCUGGCCCGAAGGGCCAAGUGAGCUUUUCUCAUCACUUGGCGUCCGGCGUCCGUCGUCGUCCGUCGUCGUCGUCUGUCGUCGUCCUGCGUCCGGCGUUAACUUUUACAAAAAUCUUCUCCUCUGAAACUACUAGGCCAAAUUUAACCAAACUUGGCCACAAUCAUCAUUGGGGUAUCUAGUUUAAAAAUUGUGUCCGGUGACCCCGCCAACUAACCAAGAUGGCCGCCAUGGCUAUAAAUAGAACAUAGGGGUAAAAUGCAGUUUUUGGCUUAUAACUCAAAAACCAAAGCAUUUAGGGCAAAUCUGACAGGGGGUAAUAUUGUUAAUCAGGUUAAGAUCUAUCUGCUCUGAAAUUUUCAGAUGAAUCUGACAUUCCGUUGUUAGGUUGCUGCCCCUGAAUUGGUAAUUUUAAGGAAAUUUUGAUGUUUUUGGUUAUUAUCUUGAAUAUUAUUUUAGAUAGAGAUAAACUGUAAAAAGCAAUAAUGUUCAGCAAAGUAAGAUCUACAAAUAAGUCAACAUGACCAAAAUGAUCAGUUGACCACUUUAGGAGUUAUUGCCCUUUAUAGUCAAUUUUUAACCAUUUUUCGUAAAUCUUAGUAAUCUUUUAGAAAAAUCUUCUCCUCUGAAACUGCUGGACCAAAUUAUUUGAAACUUGGCCACAAUCAUCUAACCAACUAACCAAGAUGACCGCCAUGGCUAUAAAUAGAACAUAGGGGUAAAAUGCAGUUUUUGGCUUAUAACUCAAAAACCAAAGCAUUUAGAGCAAAUCUGACAUGGAUAAAAUUGUUAAUCAGGUGAAGAUCUAUCUGCCCUGAAAUUUUCAGAUGAAUUGGACAACCUGUUUUUGGGUUGCGGCCCCUGAAUUGUUAAUUUUAAGGAAAUUUUGCUGUUUUUGGUUAUUAUAUUGAAUAUUAUUAUAGAUAUAGGUAAACUGUAAACAGCAAUAAUGUUCAGCAAGGUCAGAGUUACAAAUAAGUCAACAUGACCAAAAUGGUCAGUGACCUCUUUAGGAGUUAUUGCCCUUUAAAGUCAAUUUUUAACCAUUUUUCGUAAAUUUUAUAUAUCUUUUACUAAAAUCUUCUUCUCUGAAACUGCUGUGCCAAAUUGAUCCAAACUUGGCCACAAUCAUCUUUGGGGUUUCUUGUUUAAAAAUGUGUCCGGUGACCUGGCCAUCAAACCAAGAUGGCCGCCACGGCUAAAAAUAGAACAUAGGGGUAAAAUGCAGUUUUUGGCUUAUAACUCAAAAACCAAAUAAUUUAGAGAAAAUCUGACAUGAAGUAAAAUUGUUAAUCAGGUCAAGAUCUAUCUGCCCUGAAAUUUUCAGAUGAAUUGGACAACCUGUUUUUGGGUUGCGGCCCCUGAAUUGGUAAUUUUAAGGACAUUUUGCUGUUUUUGGUUAUUAUAUUGAAUAUUAUUAUAGAUAUAGGUAAACUAUAAACAGCAAUAAUUUUCAGCAAAGUAAGAUCUACAAAUAAGUAAACAUGAACGAAAUGGUCAAUUGACCCCUGUAGGAGUUAUUGACCUUUGUAGUCAAUUUUCAAUCUGCUUCCUUUAUUUAAUAUUCACAUAGACCAAGGUGAGCGACACAGGCUCUUUAGAGCCUCUAGUUUAAUAAAAUUACCAAUAAGUGUCCGAAGAGGUUUUAAAGGUUCUGUGAUUCCAUACUCUCUUUUUUUUUAUGAAUUUCAAUAAGGGCUUAAUUUGGCCCAAUUCGUUUUCAUUGCUAAAUUUGAACUUUGUUUUAGAUUUCUAUUUUGAGAUUGCUUAUAAGUUCGAACUCUUGUGUGUAAAAUUAAAAGCCAAUACAAUUUGAUCCAAGAAGUUAUGAUAAAUGCAGUUGUGUCAUCAAAACAGGGCUCUCACUGGUUCAUAUGAAAAAUAUGUGCUGUCAUUUCAUGCUUAUGUUUUUGAACUGACAAAAUUAAUAGUGUUUAAACAUUGUAAUCCAACCUUUAUGUUUAAAUAAAACAAAUAAUUUAUAAAGUUUAACUUUGCUGCACUUUCAUAGAAACUUUGAAAAAAUGCAUUUAAGGUAUAAUUUGAUUUGCAUUUUUUAUGCCCCACCUACGAUAGUAGAGGGGCAUUAUGUUUUCUGGUCUGUGCGUCCGUCCGUCCAUCUGUCCAUUCGUUCGUCCGUCCGUCUGUCCGUUCGUCCGUCCGUCUGUCCCGCUUCAGGUUAAAGUUUUUGGUCAAGGUAGUUUUUGAUGAAGUUUAAGUCCAAUCGACUUCAAACUUAGUACAAGUGUCCCCUAUGAUAUGAUCUUUCUAAUUUUAAUGCCAAAUUAGAGUUUUUACCCCAAUUUCACGGUCCACUGAACAUGGAAAAUGAUAGUGCGAGUGGGGCAUUCGUGUACUGAGGACACAUUCUUGUUUACAAGAUAUUUUACAGAUCCCUAAUACUCAUUGUACAUCCUUCUUUGUUAUUGUUUUCAUUUGAAAUGAACUAUUGAGGUAUAUUUCACAGAAUUUGUCAUGGGAUGAUGACUUGUCAUGCCAUAAACUUACGAAAUGACAAGGGACAUUUUAUUAAUUUCAUAACAAUCCUCCAAAUAUAAAAAAAUAGAUGUGGUAUGAUUGCCAAUGAGACAACUCUUUAAAAGAGACCAAAUGACACAGAAAUUAACAACUGUAGGUCACUUUACGGGCACAUACUUACAGAAUGUGGCAAGGUUAAACAUGUUAGCAUGAUCUCAACCCUCCUCCUAACCUAGGACAGGGAUGUAACAGUACAAUAUAAAAAUAAACUAUAAAAAUGAGUUGCAAAAGACUAAACUCAUCAGAUGGUUACAAAUAGAAAUACAGAUAAAAAAAGAAUACCAUUUUGGAAAUUAUUGAAUUAACACAAUUUUCAUGCUAUUAUCAUACAGUAAACAUUAAGAGUUAUUUACCCUGACUAU